rnacentral:rRNA from 1 species
CGACCUGAGAUGAGACGAGAAAACCCGCUGAAUUUAAGCAUAUUAAUAAGCG